AAUAAUAAUAGUCCUAGACACUUGGGAAGUGUCCGAUGUGUGAUCCAAUACAACAGCCAGCAGAGUGUCUGCUGUGGACUCAUCUUGUUGUGUUUCAAAUAAUAAUAAUAAUAAUAAUAAUAAUAAUAAUAAUAAUAAUAAUAAUAAUAAAAACUUUAUUUCUAGACCUCCCUCUCUCCCCAGAGAGACUCAGGGCGGUUAACAUACAUAUAAAUGGCAAACAUUCAAUGCCACAAUUUCUUCAUUAAUAUCAAAAGUAUAAAAUGACAAUAACAUACAUGUUAUAAUGAAAAUUCCACAUUAGAACAAAACAAUAAAUUUAAACAUGACAGUCAGUAAAAACAUUAUUGCACAGAGCGAGCGUAUACUUGGACCAAUUUAAGCGACCAAGUUGCAGUCAUAGACCUUGGAGGGGUCUACGGACAACGCCGGCUCUUUGGCUAAGAAUUGGAGAUGAGCACCAACCCCCGAGUCGGACACAACUGGACUUAAUGUCAGGGGAAAACCUUUACCUAACCUAACCUUAAAUAAUAUUGACCAUUGGGAGUGGGAGUCGUUCUGGGAGUGGUUCUUGUUCCUAUGUGUGAUCCUGUUUCUGUUUUUAGGGUUGCUGCCAAACGAUGUGAUAGGUGAUGGUGACAUUCCCUCAAGAUCCGGGGAUGCUUUGUUCCUUUUCCUGCCUGGUUUCUAGGUCCGGUUCAAAGUGCUAGUUUUCACCAUUCAGAUAGAUUUUGAAGACUGUAUUUGUUCAGGCUUUUGUGUGGGUGGUACUCCAGAUAGUUUAUCACUGCAGUUACCUUGCAUUUAAAUAAUGUGCUUUGAAAGCUAUUUACAGUGGUUAGUUUUGGCCUUACUGAAAAUACUUGCCAGUUUUCCAUGUGUAAGUUCAGUUUAUUGUGUAUUUCAGAAAUAUAAAGUAAACUUUAUAUUAAUACUAGCUUGGGUACCCAGCGUUGUCCAGGUUAUUUGAAAAAGGCAAUGUUUUAAUUGUACAAAAUGCAUAAGGUUGUGGAUUAACUACAACUGACAUCAUGCCAGGUUAACCCCAAGAAACUCCAUCAGUACAGUAGAGUCUCACUUAUCCAACAUAAACGGGCCAGCAGAACCUUGGAUAAGCGAAUAUUUUGGAUAAUAAGGAGAGAUUCAGGAAAAGCCUUUUAAACAUCAAAUUAGGUUAUGAUUUUACAAAUUAAGCACCAAAACAUCAUGUUAUACAACAAAUUUGACAGAAAAAGUAGUUCAAUACGCAGUAAUGUUAUGUUGUAAUUACUGUAUUUACGAAUUUAGCACCAAAGCAUCACGAUAUAUUGAAAACAUUGACAACAGAAAUGCAUUGGAUAAUCCAGAACCUUGGAUAAGCGAGUCUUGGAUAAGUGAGACUCUACUGUACUUAGUUUGUGAUGUUGGACAGGUUUGCUCUGGAUGCAACAUUGGUGGGGUUCAGUGUGCUCUCUGGCUGUAGGGUGAACUACAACUCCCACUAUGGUGAGUCAGUGCCCUUAAACCCUUCCAAUAGGUUGAGUUAGUCAUGGGGGUUCUGUAUGCCAAGUUUGGUCCAGGUCCAUCAUUGGUGAUGGUUGCUGUUUUUCUGGUUGUUGGCGAACUACAACUCCCAGAAAGGAAGGUCAGUUCCCCCCAAACCCCUCCAGUAAUCAAAUUUCGGCAUAUCGGGGAUGUGUGCCACGUUUGGUCCAGAUCAUUGGUGUUUGGAUUCUCAGUGCUCUCUGGAUGUAGGUGAACUACAACUCACCCAAAUCAAGGUUAAUUUUCCCCAAAGACCUCCAGUAUUUUUUGCUGGUCAUGAGGACUUUAGUGUGCCAAGUUUGGUCCAAUUCCAUCUUUGGUGGAGUUCAGAGUGCUCAUUGAUUGCAGGUGAACUAUACAUCCCAGUAUGUACAGCUCCAAAAUGUCCAGGCCAAUUCCCCUCAAAACCCACCAGUAUUCAAAUUUGGGCAUAUCGGGUAUGCAUGCCAAGUUUGGUCCCGAUCCAUUAUUGUUUGGGUUCAUAGUGCGCUCUGGAUGUAGGUGAACUACAAUUGCUGACUAGUACCUCUGUUUGCUGUGUGCCAUAGAAAAGAAUAGGAAAGGGUUAAGGGAGAGGCAGAGGGUGGGAUCAUACAAAUCUCACACCAAUGGAGAGAGUCAGAAACACUGGGAUGCCUGUGGUAGAGGAAAGACAUAAAAUCUCAGAAUGAAAUUGUCUCCAGAUGAAAGCCUUCACUUGGGUGGUGAGGACAUUGGCAGUGUUCUUGGACAUUAUAUUCGGGUUGGCUUAUACUCGAGUAUAUACGGUAAUUGGAGGGAGGGCCAUUGGUGUCUCCUGGGUAGUGGGAGCUAUCUAUAUAUAUAAAAGGAUAAAAAUUUUUGGCCUAGGACAAAACAACAAAACUACACAUCCCAGAAACACUAAACUUGGCAGCACGGCCCCUCAUCCAUGCCUCUACGUUCAUACAACAAAAAGAAAAGAAAAAUAAAGUCCUAAUUAGAGGGAGAGGAAUAAUAGUUUUUAUCCCAUUGCUGCCAGUUUGAAGGCUAAGCUCCGCCCACUUGGUCUCCUAGCAACCCACCCAGCCCAGGGGCCAGGCAGACUUAGGCCUCACUUAGGCCUCUUCCACACUGCCUAUAAAAUAAAGAUUAUCAGAUUUUAACUGGAUUAUAUGGCAGUGUAAACUCAAGGCCCUUCCACACAGCUAUCUAACCCAUUUAUAAUGGACUUAAUGUAAGGUAAAACCUUUACCCUUUACCUUAACUACCACCAAUUCCUCAGUACUUUAUUUCCCAUACCACCAUACUUCAUCACAGCAACGCGUGGCUUGGCACAGCUAGUAGCUAUAUAUGUAUAUAGAAAAUAUACAUAUUUUCACUAUUACUAUGUGUAUAGAUGUAUGUUGCUUUACAUUGCGUAGUUUUAUAGUGCUUAAUAUUGAAGGGAAUGUUCUCGCCCUGUCUUCGCUUUGAAGGGUACAGCUGGGUGGAGCAUUCUCAAGGGAAAUCGUGAGUUCCCUCCCUCCUGUCAGUCAAGAGGCCUGGUCAAAAAUAACAGAUGGUGAUGCACGGAAAGACGUCUAAGCCGUGGGGGCUCCACCCUUUUCCCUCUGGCCUUGGGGGGAGGGAGGCAGCAAUAACCAGCCCCAUUGCAAAGAAGAGAGAGGGUGGCUCUGCUUCUUAGCUCCUGGAGAAACAUCAUUAUCGGCUUGACAUCUAAUAUUUGUUUCUCCUCCCACCUCCUGUUCCCUAACAAGGGUGCUGUGAGCUCAGGGAGUAUAAUGUAAUAGGCAGGUCAUUAAAGGCAACUUGGCUCGGCUCGUUGCAGGGCAGCUUCAUUAGGCAUGUGAGGCUCUUUCUGUGGUUCAACCAGGUCGCUGUGUUUUGAAAUAAUAAAUCCCCCCCAUAAGAAUGGAUUCUAUUGUGACUGUGAGGUGGGCAUGCCGUGUGAGUGAAUCCAGGCCUCGCCAUGGUUAGCUAGCCAUGAAGUUCUUCUUUAGAGGGCGAUUCAAAGCCAUUGAAAUCCACAAGCAUGUGGACAAUGUCAACAGAAAGGAGGAAACCAUGAAAAUGAACAAAAUCUACGAGGGUUGAAGGAAAAGUAAUGCGCAGGGUUCCAUACUUCGCAUUUUAACAACACAACCGUUCAAUGCUAAGGCUUCCCCGUCUGCGCAGGGUUCCAUACUUCGCACUUUAACAACACAACCGUUCAAUGCUAAGGCUUCCCUCCAAAUGGAACUGUAGAGGAGAGUCUACUGAACAAGCCAGAACCUGCCGCAGACCAGGACUGCCAUCUGUUGAGGAGUUACGAAGGUGGAGGCAUUACUUUUCAUUCAACCCUCAUAGCUAGGUAAAAGGUAAAGGUUUUCCCUUGACAUUAAGUCUAGUCAUGUCUGACUCUUGGAGUUGGUGCUCAUUUCUAUUUCUAAGCUGAAGAGCCAGCAUUGUCCGUAGACACCUCCAAGGUCAUGUGGCCAUAGACAUGACUGCAUAGAGCGCUUUACUGUCUCACUGGAGCAGUACCUAUUGAUCUACUCACACUCUGGGGGUUGGUGCUCAUCUCCAUUUCUAAGCCAAAGAGCCGGCGUUGUCCGUAGACACCUCCAAGGCCAUGUGGCCAUUGGCAUGACUGCAUGGAGCGCUUUUCUGUCCCGCCAGAGCAGUACCUAUUGAUCUACUCACACUCUGGGGGUUGGUGCUCAUCUCCAUUUCUUAGCCAAAGAGCCGGCAUUGUCCGUAGACACCUCCAAGGCCAUGUGGCCAUAGGCAUUACUGCAUAGAGUGCUUUACUGUCUCACCAGAGCAGUACCUAUUGAUCUAUUCACACUCUGGGGGUUGGUGCUCAUCUCCAUUUCUAAGCCGAAGAGCUGGCAUUGUCCGUAGACACCUCCAAGGCCAUGUGGCUACAGGCACGACUGUAUGGAGCACUGUUACUUUCCUGCCAGAGUAGUACCUACUACUACUACUACUACUAUUACUAUUACUACUAAGUUUCUUAAUAUUAUUACUUAUUUAUUAUUAUUUAUUACUAUUACUACUAUUACUAUUACUACUAGAGAGUAAAUCUACUCACAUUUGCAUGUUUUUGAACUGCUACGUUGGCAGAAGCUGGGGCUAACAGCGGGCGCUCACUCCGCUCCCUGGAUUUGAACCUGUGACUUUUCGGUCUGCCAGUUCAGCAGCUCAGAGCUUUAACACGCUGCACAACCGGGGCCCCUAAAAAUCUAGCUACCAGUAUUAAAAUAACUCUAAAAUUAGGACAGUUAAAUAAAGAACAACACUCUGAAAGAAACAAGAAACAGUCAGGGCCAGCUGAAACCUCCCAAUAAAGGAUUCCGCCAGGCAGGAAGCAGGCAGGCUUUGAAGCUUUUAACUUGUUUUAUUCUGUGUUUUUUAUUGCUUGUUUUAUACUGUUGAUGACUGGGUUUGGCCCCAUGUAAGCUGCCCCGAGUCCCUUCGGGGAGAUGGGGCGGAGUAUAAGAAUAAAAUUAUUAUUAUUAUUAUUAUUGACACAACGACGUUGUAUGACACAGCAAACAAGAUAGACAUGCUGGAUUUCGUUUCACAAAACCACAAGUCGAACACUUCCCAAGUGUUUAGGACUGUGUGAUGUAUUCUCGGAUGAUGCGUGCAGAUCCCAGCAGGGUGGCCUUUUGCAGUUGGCAGAUCGUAAUUUUGUCAAUGUCUAUUGUUUCCAAAUGCCGGCUGAGAUCUUUUGGCACGGCACCCAGUGUGCCCAUCACCACCGGGACCACCUGCACUGGUUUCUGCCAGAGUCUUUGAAGUUCAAUCUUGAGGUCCUGAUAGCGGCUGAGUUUUUCCUGUUGUUUUUCGUCAAUGCGGCUGUCACCUGGGAUGGCGACAUCAAUGAUCCAAACCUUGUUCUUUUCCACAACUGUGAUGUCUGGUGUGUUGUGUUCCAGAACUUUGUCAGUCUGGAUUCGGAAGUCCCACAGUAUCUUUGCGUGUUCAUUUUCCAGGAUCUUUGCUGGUUUGUGAUCCCACCAGUUCUAUUAUUAUUAAGCUGAAAGGCCAUUCAGUGCUAAUCAAGGUGGCUAAUUGCAAUAUUCACAGAUAUGAGUUUCUCCCACCCUGGACAUUAUUCCACAAGUAUAUAAAUCCCUCUUGCCUAGUUUCCAACAGACCUCACAACCUGAGGAUGCCGGCCGUAGAUGUGGGUGAAAUGUCAGGAGAGAAUGCUUCUGGAGCAAGUCCAGACAGCCCGGAAAACUCACAGCAACCCAAAACACUGAAAAGUUUCCUUGAGACAGGUUAAGGAAAGGCCAUUUUUGGCCUUCAGCAUAGCUGCUUUAUCAAGACAAUAUUUCCCCGCUAUCGGAAAUCCGUUGUAGCUCUUGUGUUACAUUGGGAAAAGAUAAGGUUUCCAAUAAUUUCUUCUCCUGUUUGUUAUUAACCCUCCUGCACUGGGUUAAAAGCACUUUACCAAUCUGGUCUUAGGGUCAGGUAGGCUCCAAUUAAGUUGCGGUUUAAAACAGACACACGAAUACAGGCACAUACGUGCUUGACAAAUUUGUGCUAAAAAUCACAAAACCAUGUCUAGGAUUAUAGUUGAUUGGCAAAGGGCACAGUUGUAGAGGAAUGGCAUCCGGGGUAUGUAAUUCCUUCCCUAAAUGUCAAUUACUUGAUCCUUUCCUGUCCAAGUGGCUCAAAAACAUGUGAAGUUUUAAACACCAACAACAACAACAAGAAUGGUAGUGAUAUUAAUAGCAAUCAUAAUGAUUUGAAUAAUAUUACUUAAUGAUUAAUAUUAAAUACUAACUUUAAAAUGUACCUGUUUCUGACUUAUAUACAAGUUAAACUUAAGAACAAAUGCUUCAAAUUAAAAUAUACACCAUACUGCUUGGUGUUGGGAAUGAUUUUUGUGAUACUAUUUCAGCACUCACUUCUUAUUUCAAAUAUGCAGGAUGGUUUAUGUCCUUAAUCUUUUUUCAAUGUGUCUGUUUGUCUCUUCUGAUAUGUUUCCAGAGAGAGGUUCCCACUAGUCCUGUUAAUUUACCAUAUAUACUCAAGUAUAAGUCGACUCGAAUAUAACCCAAUUUUACCAUAAAAACUGGGAAAACAUUGACUCUAGUAUAAGCCGAGAGCGGUAAAUUUCAGAAAUAAAAAUAGAUACAGUAGAGUCUCACUUAUCCAAGACUCGCUUAUCCAAGCUUCUGGAUUAUCCAAGACAUUUUUGUAGUCAAUGUUUUCAAUAUAUCAUGAUAUUUUGGUGCUAAAUUCGUAAAUACAGUAAUAACAACAUAACAUUACUGCAUAUUGUACUACUUUUUCUGUCAAAUUUGUUGUAUACAUAGCAUUACUGUGAACUGAACUACUUUUUAUGUCAAAUUUGUUGUAUAACAUGAUGUUUUGGUGCUUAAUUUGUAAAAUCAUAACCUAAUUUGAUGUUUAAUAGGCUUUUCCUUAAUCCCUCCUUAUUAUCCAAGAUAUUCGCUUAUCCAACGUUCUGCCGGCCCAUUUAGCUUGGAUAAGUGAGAGUCUACUGUAUUAAUAAAAUUACAUGAAUUGAGGCAUCAGUAGGUUAAAUGUUUUUGAUUACUGUAAUUUAAGAUAAAACUGUCCGACUCUGAUUAAAUCAUUAUUCUCCUCUUCUUCAAUGUAAAUGUGCUUAUGUAUCCUUUUGAUAAUAAUAGAGUAAAAUAAUAAAUAUAAUAAUACUAAUAAAUACAGUAAAGUAAUACAUGUAAUAAUAAAUAGAGUAAAAUAAUAAAUGUAACAAUAAGCUUAUCAGAGUGAAAUAAUAAAUGUAUUAAUAAUAAUAAAAAUGGAGUAAAAUAAAUGUAAUACAGUAGAGUCUCACUUAUCCAGGCUUCACUUAUCCAAGGUUCUGUAUUAUCCAAGGCAGUCUGCCUUUUAGUAGUCAUUGUUUUUGUAGUAAAUGUUUUGGUGCUAAAUUCGUAAAUACAGUAAUUACUAUGUAACAUUACUGUGUAUUGAACUGCCUUUUCUGUCAAUUUCUUGUAAAACAUGAUGUUUUGGGGCUUAAUUUGUAAAAUCAUAAUGUAAUUUUAUGUUUAAUAGGCUUUUUUCUUAAUCCCUCCUUAUUAUCCAAGAUUUUCGCUUAUCCAAGGUUCUGCCGGCCCGUUUAUCUUGGAUAAGUGAGACUCUACUAUAGCAAAAAUAAUAAUAGAGUAAAAUUAUAAUUGUAAUAAUAAUAAUAAUAAUAAUAAUAAUAAUAGAGUAAAAUAAUAAAUGUAAUAAUACCAAUAAUAAACAGAGAAAAAUAAUAAAUGUGCCAUAAAUACUCUAGUAUAAGCUCUGUCGCAUCUCAGGAUAGCUUCACCUUGCUGUGUACACCAAACUGCACACAGGUUGAAGUCUUUUUAGUUUAUUAGAAAACUAGCUUUGCCCGUCCACGCGUUGCUGUGGCUUAUGGGAAUCCUUUGUUGGCCAGGUGGAAUAGCAGUGAAUAGCCUUGCAGCCUCAAAGCCUGGCCGUUUUCUGGGGUAGCUGGAGCUUUUUGUUGUAUGAAUGUAGAGGCAUGGAUGAGGGGUUGUGCUGCCAAGUUUAGUGUUUCUGAGAUGUGUAGUUUUGUUGUUUUGUCCUAGGCCGAAAUUUCAUUACCUUUUUAUAUAUAUAGAUAAAAGAUAAAAAGUUCUUUAAAAACAAGAGUAAAGUUCCAAAAGAUCGUUACAAAAUAAAGCCUUAGAGCAUAAUUCAAGUAAUCACUGGAAAUAAACAAAGUCUCAUUAGAGCAUGACAAAGUCCCAAGAACACGAACACAAGAGCUGCAAGAUAAUCCAGUAAAACAAGAGCUUGCUUCUUGGUUGAACGAAAAGUUGCUUUGACAAAGGUUUGUCUCCAAACACAUUGCUUUAAUACCCUUUGCAAAGCAUGAAAGCAUUUCCCUGGCCUCUAACCUCCCUCUUGUUUGCAAUCCUCACACUCCUCUGAACCCUGAAUUCCAAAUGGUCAGCUCGAUCUAGGGAACCUGUCUCGUCAAGGUCAGCUUGCUUGUUAGUUUAGGAGGAGAACUGUCCUCCUUUUCCAAGUCAAUUUGCACCUGGCUAGUUUCAGUAUCAACAACAUCAUUCCUUGCUGUGGGAAAAUGAACUUGUGCUCUCUGUUCCUCAUCUUCUACAACAGGGACAUUUUGAACCCGAUUUUGAACCUGAAUCCCAUCAUCCUCAUCAAAGUCAAUCUGAGGUUCCAGCUGAGUCACAACAAGCUGACCUGAAUAUAAGCCAUUGAGUAAACACAGAUGUCUAUUCUAAACAAUGUAAUGAACUAUACAACACAAUAAGUAGUACACAAUAUGUAUAUUAGAGCAUCAUAUACAUAUAAUAUUCACAGAAAAAAUACUCAGUUCUAAGGUAUAUAACUCAAAAGUAUCUAACUCAGUAUUAUAAAUCAAACAAAAUGAUAUCUCUGCAGUCCUAAAAGGAUUGGAUUGGCUUAAAGGCAAACCGAUUCAGAGUCUCUCCAGUUCUGGAGAGAUUCCUUAGGACUCCACAGGUUUUGGAUCAAUAGUAAAGCCAAGUAGACAGAGUCAGUGCUGAUGUAGCUCCUGAGUAGGUGUUAAUAAAUCCGUUCACACCGUUUACAUGCCGUUUACAACUGGUUCCCGGGUUUUAUCCCAGUUUUGGUAACCCUUCUUCUGGUAAGCGGCAAAUGCUUUAUUAUUUCUUUAUUAUUUCUUUAUUGACCUAUUAUAGCACACAAAAGAUCUAAAAAUUUAAAAGAUAUUCUCAUUCAUUCUGAUUUCAAAAUAUCUAAUUUAGAACCCAGGAAUAUUAUCACAGGGAAUUUUAAGUGUGGACAUUGUGACGUUUGUGGGCUCACGUCCAAUAUUAAGCAAUUUCAACAUCCAUCAUUGCUCAUCAAGAUCAGUUUGGAAAACUACAUGACUUGUUCAUCAGAAAACGUAAUCUAUGUAAUUAGACCCCCUGCCCAGUUCUCUUUGGGCAUUGUGGAGUAGGGAUCCAUUUCCUUCUUCAUUUUUGGAUUUGGAUCUAUCAGGAAGCAGCCAGAAUGUGUAUCGUACCCUCAAAGGAUAUUUGUGUGUGUCACAUUAUUUUCCUUUUCUCUUGCAACUACUUUGCAUGAGAACUUACUUUGCAUGAGAACUACAAGCCAGGAUUGCAGAGAGUUCGGGCUGUGUCUUCUACCGUGUUUUCCCGAAAAUAAGACAGUGUCUUAUAUUAAUUUUUGCUCCCAAAAAUGUGCUAGGUCUUAUUUUCAGGGGAUGUCUUAUUUUUCCAUGAAGAAGAAUUCACUUUUAUUGUUGAACAAAAAAAUGGACAUUUAUUAUAUACUGUCCAGUAUCAUCACAAACCAGCAUAACCAGACAAACUGUGAAUCCUAUCAAGAAUUUCUUCUUAUUACCAUUAUUUUCAUGUACAGCAAUCUAUGGUACGUACAUUUACCGAUCCUGCAUGCUCUGGUGUUCUGUUUGGUGGGCAUAAUUCCAAACAAAAACUUUGCUAGGUCUUACUUUUGGGGGAGACCUUAUAUUUAGCAAUUCAGCAAAAUCUCUACUAGGUCCCAUUUUCUGGGGAUGUCUUAUUUUUGGAGAAACAGGGUAUGAUGCAUGCACUUGCAUGUAUUUAAAGAGGGAAAGACAUUCAUAGAGGUAGGGACAUCACCCCUUCUCAUCUGAAAAGAAUUAGGAGUCUUGGUGAUAUGUAAGGAAUGACCCUAAGUUUUUUUUUCAAGCAUUUUAUAGGAUGAGAUUGUUGGUCGCAACCUCAAUCUGUAGCUCUACGAAGGACACACUGAUGCCCCAAAGCUGUUUAAAGCUGAGAGCACCAGAAAAUAAUAUUUGCUGCCUUGUGGGCGGGUGUCAUUUCCAGCUCUUUCUGCCUCGGUUGCCACUUAUGGAUGAGAAACACUUGCCGAUCGGAGGCUUGUAGACCUGUGUGCAACUACCAGGAACCCAUCAGCCAGAAGUUUGUCCUCCCUCCCCCUCGACUCCAGUCUGGCUGCUGAUAAACUGUGUGUGAUUCGGUGAAGUUGAUACUGGAAGCAUUAAGGCAGGUUCAUUUCUCUAGUAAAAGCAUUUUGUAGAUGGUGCACAAGAGAUAACAUUGAAAUAUAACUUGCGUAUGGAAAUCUCGACUUCUCUGUGUCCGAUAGACUCAUUUAACCUUUGAAGGCCUCUGGCUCGAUGGCCCUCCGAGGGAGAGGGAGAGAGAGACGCUGCAUGGAAAAUGUGCUAAAUAUAGUGCUCAUUUGUUGUUGAAUAAUAAGUUCAGAGGGUUGGAUGCAAAGAGUUUCCAGUUCCACGUAGGCAGCAAACUCAGUGGGAGGCAUAUACUGUAAAUAAAAUGUUUGCAGCUGGCUAUUCCUGCGCAGCAUCUUUCUUGUUUGUUAGAAUGAUUAAAUGCAUGGGAUUGAUUGAGAGAAACAUUUUUAAAAUUGCAGUAAAAGGUAAAGGUUUACCAUGACAUAAAGUCCAGUCGUGUCCAACUCUGGGGGUUGGUGCUCAUAUCUGUUUCUAAGCUGAAGAGCCGGUGUUGUCCGUAGACACCUCUAAGAUCAUGUGGCCACAGGCAUGACUGCAUGGAGCACUGUUACCAUCCCUCCGUAGCAGUACCUAUUGAUCUACUCACACUCUGGGGGUUGGUGCUCAUCUCCAUUUCUAAGCCGAAGAGCCGGCGUGUCCGUAGACACCUCCAAGGCCAUGUGGCCAUUGGCAUGACUGCAUGGAGCGCUUUUCUGUCCCGCCAGAGCAGUACCUAUUGAUCUACUCACACUCUGGGGGUUGGUGCUCAUCUCCAUUUCUAAGUCGAAGAGCCGGCGUUGUCCGUAGACACCUCCAAGGUCAUGUGGCCAUUGGCAUGACUGCAUGGAGCGCUUUUCUGUCCCGCCGGAGCAGUACCUAUUGAUCUACUCACACUCUGGGGGUUGGUGCUCAUCUCCAUUUCUAAGCCAAAGAGCCGGCGUUGUCCGUAGACACCUCCAAGGCCAUGUGGCCAUUGGCAUGACUGCAUGGAGCGCUUUUCUGUCCUGCCAGAGCAGUACCUAUUGAUCUACUCACACUUUGGGGGUUGGUGCUCAUCUCCAUUUCUAAGCCGAAGAGCCGGCGUUGUCCGUAGACACCUCCAAGGUCAUGUGGCCAUUGGCAUGACGGCAUGGAGUGCCGUUACCUUCCCACCGGAGUGGUCUCUAUUGAUCUACUCACAUUUGCAUGUUUUUGAACUGCUAGGUUGGCAGAAGCUGGAGCUAACAACAGGUGCUCACUUUGCUCCCCGGAUUUGAACCUGUGACCUGUGACAAUGCGCUUUAGCACAUUGUGCCACCGGGGACAUAUAUUAAAAGAAGGUGCUGGAUAGUAUCAUGGAGGUUGAAUUCCUGUUGUUGAUUUUUGAACUUUUUUGGUAAAUUGCUUGCUGUCUUGAGUCUUAUCACUCUUAUCUAUGUUGCUGUCCAUCACUCCAUUGAAGUCUCUCAAAAUUAUCAAAUUGUCAAAUUCUAAAAUAUGAUCUUUUAACGUUUUCUCACAAAUGUGGUUUUUGGGUCAUUUGGGCCAUAUAUAAUGCAAACCAAAAGUCUUAAAAUGUUGUAUUUUUAUUAUUACCCAUAGCAUUCUGCCCUCUUGAUCAUUAAAGGCCAGUCCUGCCUCCAACUUCUUAUUAACAUAGAGGAGCACCCCUCUUUUCUUUUCUAGGGCAGAUGAAUAAAAUUAUUCUCCAAUACGUUUUUGUUCCAGAUGGGCUACAUAUCUUUGUGCUAUAUGGGUUUCUUGUCAAGCCACCACAUCGUACUUUUCUUUUUUAUUCUAUUAAAUAUUUUACUUGGUUUAUUGGGUGAAUUCAGUCCAUUAACAUUAUUAGAGUAUGAGGAAGAACGGAUCUGAUUUUAUGUUUGAAAUGUAUAUUUUUAAUUCAUAAUGUAUUUUAAUAGUUUUAACUGUUUUAUGUGCUGUUUUAUAUUGGUUUGUAUGGGCAUCUAAUUGUUGCCACUGUUGUAAUCCGCCCUGAGUUUCUUCGGGUGAGAAGGGCGGGAUAUAAAUGUGAGAAAUAAAUAAAUUAGAGUAACAUUUUAGUUCCCUAGCCAUCUUCAUUGUUUUUCUUUGAAGGCUUUGAAACAGUGGCUGGAUAGCUAUCUGUCGGGAAUGCUUUCAAUGCAAUUUUCCUGCUUCUUGGCUCCGGGUUGGACUGGAUGGCCCACGAGGUCUCUUCCAACUCUGUGAUUCUAAAAUACAGCUUAGCAUAGAGUGAAAAGUGCCAUUGGCUUGCCAGCUUUCUGUUGGUAAACCUACAUUUCCCAAUCUUAGGCCACUCUGAUGUGUUAUAAAUGCCAUGAUCCCUGUUUGGCAGGCUCAAGCGACUUAUAGUCUGACAUGUCUCAUGUGGGCCAGGUUGAGCAAGGCUGUCUUAGAUAUAAUCUUUUUAUUGAGGCCACUACACAUCUUGGAGAGAUCUUGUCCUUGAGCCACGUCAUCACCAAAACUAUUAGUAGUGCUCUUGGGAAUUACCUAGGGACAGCAAAACAGCCCUGAGAGUCACAUUUGGCUUGGAAGGUGGGUUUUUCUUUUGUAGAGCAGGGCUUCUUGAGGAAUUCUGUGAUAUUUGGGUAAGUUUGUGUGGACAGGCAUUCCCCUAUCCUUCUGUAGAAGGCAGGACAGCAUUAAUCUGGCACUCAGGCUUUGUAGUACUGUAUGACCGCCAUCAUUUACAGGGAAUAAGUUCAAAGAUCUAAUGUGGAUACCUGGAACUAUGAAAAGUAACUCAUCCUACAAUAUUGGGCUGGAAGCAUACCCUAGAAUCGUAUUGGGAGGAUUUGGAGAGGCUCAGAAACACUUCUGGAGGAGAUAGUUUUUGGAGCAUGGAGAGUGAACCAUAAAUAUUGAAUUUGUGGAUAAGGGGGCAAUACAAGGGUUGAAUGAAAAGUAAUGCCUCCAGCUUCGUAACUCCUCAACAGAUGGCAGUCCUGGUAUGUGGUAGGUCCUGGCUUGUUCAGUAGACUCUCUUCUACAGUUCCAUUUGGCGGGAAGCCUUAGCAUUUGUUGUGUUGUUAAAAGGCGAAGUAUGGAACCCUGCGCAGACGGGGAAGCCUUAGCAUUGAAUGGUUGUGUUGUUAAAGUGCGAAGUAUGGAACCCUGCGCAGACGGGGAAGCCUUAGCAUUGAACGGUUGUGUUGUUAAAGAGCGAAGUAUGGAACCCUGUGCAGACGGGGAACCCUUGCAUUGAACGGUUGUGUUGUUAAAGUGCGAAGUAUGGAACCCUGUGCAGACGGGGAAGCCUUGCAUUGAACGGUUGUGUUGUUAAAGUGCGAAGUAUGGAACCCUGUGCAGACGGGGAAGCCUUGCAUUGAACAAUUGUGUUGUUAAAGAGCGAAGUAUGGAACCCUGUGCAGACGGGGAAGCCUUAGCAUUAAAUGGUUGUGUUGUUAAAGUGUGAAGUAUGGAACCCUGUGCAGACGGUCUCUCAAUGCGACUUAAGCAACGUGCAGUCACUGAAUUCUUGACAGCAGAAGGUGUCACCCCAAAGGAGAUUCACCAGAGAAUGCAAACUGUUAAUGGUGAUUGUGUUGAUGUGAUUGUGCGUCUUUGGGCGAGUAAGUUUAAAAAUGUUGAGGUGGGAACAUCUGACUUGCGUGAUAAGCAAAGAGUUGGACGUCCUGUGACAGCGACCACCGAGUUUCACAAGCAAAAGGUCGACAGAUUGAUUCAGGAUGAUCGUCGUAUCACUCAGAGAGAAAUUUUAAGCACAGUCAGCAUUUCACAAGAACGUGUGGGUCACAUUAUUGCUUUGCUUGGCUAUCGGAUGUUGAGAGAACUGUGAGACGCCGGUUGCGGAAACAGAGUGUCGACUUCUUCCGUGAUGGCUUCAGAAAACUUGUUCAUCGUUGGCAGAAAUGUAUCCAAUUGUCUGGUGAUGAUGUGGAAAAGUGAAUAGUGGUACAGUAGAGUUUCACUUAUCCAACAUAAAUGGGCCGGCAAAACAUCGGAUAAGUGAAUAUGUUGAAUAAUAAGGAGGGAUCAAGGAAAAGUCUACUAAACAUUAAAUUAGGUUAUGAUUUUUACAAAUGAAGCACCAAAACAUCAUGUUAGACAACAAAUUUGACAGAAAAAGUAGUUCAGUACGCAGCAAUGCUAUGUAGUAAUUACUGUAUUUACGAAUUUAGCACCAAAAUAUCACGAUGUCCUGAAAACAUUGACUGUAAACAUGCGUUGGAUAAUCCAGAAUGUUGGAUAAGCGGAUGUUGGAUAAGUGAGACUCUACUGUAGUUAAAGAGCACAUUUUAAGGAUUGUUUUUGCGUUUGGUUUAUUAAAAUAUUCCCAUCCAAACCCAAACGAAGGUGGAGGCAUUACUUUUCAUUCAACCCUUAUUUCAUAUAGCCUUGUUAGCCAGCAUUUUUAAUCCUUAUUGCUUGGUCUCUGCCGGUGGGCCUAUGCUUUAUGCAUGCUCAUUUUUUAAAAUCCAAAGCUUAUACAAGUUUUGUCUGUCAUCGCCCCAUUGGCCUCAGUAGAAUGGCAUUAACCCAAAUCCAGUUACUUUGUUUUAUCUGCUUUGUGAAUUGUCUCUAGGUUGCCUUGAGAAUGGCUAGGCUUGUAUUUGUUCGCCCUCCGGCUUCAUGUAUAUUUCUUUCAUCAGCAGAUGAUGCGUCAGAGACCCGUUUUGGUACCUUUAAUUGUUCUUGUGUACAAGAGGGUUUGCGAAAUGGACAGAGAACUGAUAUUUCCGAUCCUGUUUUCUUUCGGGAGCGACAACCUGUACGAAUCUGUAACCCUCUUCUCCAGCAUAUGAUACAGGAGCAGCGUGACAUUUAGUAUUUUUUACAUUCUUGGUGUCUCUUUAAAGCCAGCCAGAUUCUGGAAUUAAAAGAACGCUUUCUUCUCUUUAGCUGCUCUGAAACCUCUUCAAACUGGCAUAAAUCAGAAAUAUAUUAAAAGAGCCAGAAAACAGAAUAUGGAACCUCUGAAAGGCUCAUCGGGUAUAAUUUAAUGCUUGCCGGCAAAGAUGAAUGGGCUAUAUACUUCUUUUCCCUCUAUCCGGCUGAGUUUAUAUUGGAGAAUCCAGAAGGGUUAGCCUUGAUCUGGAGUUAAAUCUAAAUGUAGAUAUAAGUUGGAGACUUAAAAUUCUAUGGCUGAAUGAGAAAUACAGUAGAGUCUCACUUAUCCAAGCCUCUCUUAUCCAAGCUUCUGGAUUAUCCAAGCCAUUUUUGUAGUCAAUGUUUUCAAUAUAUUGUGAUAUUUUGGUGUUAAAUUCGUAAAUACAGUAAUUACAACAUAACAUUACUGUGUAUUGAACUACUUUUUCUGCCAAAUUUGUUGUCUAACAUGAUGGUUUGGUGCUCAAUUUGUAAAAUCAUAAUCUAACUUGAUGUUUAAUAGGCUUUUCCUUAAUCCCUCCUUAUUAUCCAAGAUAUUCGCUUAUCCAAGCUUCUGCCAGCCCGUUUAGCUUGGAUAAGUGAGACUCUACUGUACCUUAUUUCUGUCUGUACGGAGACCAUUUCUUAAUUAUUGUACAGAGUCUCACUUAUCCAACAUAAACGGGCUGGCAGAAUGUUGGAUAAGCAAAUAUGUUGGAUAAUAAGGAGGCAUUAAGGAAAAGCCUAUUAAACAUCAAAUUAGGUUAUGAUUUUACAAAUGAAGCACCAAAACAUCAUGUUAGACAACAAAUUUGACAGAAAAAGUAGUUCAAUACACAGUAAUGCUAUGUAGUAAUUACUGUAUUUACGAAUUUAGCACCAAAAUAUCACAAUGUAUUGAAAACAUUGACUACAAAAAUGUGUUGGAUAAUCCAGAAUGUUGGAUAAGUGAGACUCUACUGUAAUUACUGUAUUUAUUAAUUUAGCACCAAAAUAUCACGAUAUAUUGAAAACAUUGAAUACAAAAAUGUGUUGGAUAAUCCAGAAUGUUGGAUAAGCGAGUGUUGGAUAAGUGAGACUCUAAUGUAUUUCUGUGCCACUUUUCUCACCCCUGGGGGAACUCAAAGCGGUGUACAACAAAAUAAAUUGCAAACAUUCGAUGCCUCUCAUCCAUAUAAAACAGUACAUUGCAUAUAUAAACAAUAAACAUCUAACUAUAAAUGAAGAUCAAUUAAAAAGUAUACAAACCGUCAGACAUACCAUAUAUACUCGAGUAUAAGCCGACCUGAAUAUAAGCCGAGGCACAAAUAACAAAUGUAAUAAUAAAUGGAGUGAAAUAAUUAAUGUAAUAACAAUAAUAAUAUCAGAGUGAAAUAAAUAAUAAAUAUAGCAGUAAUAGAUAGAAUAAAAUAAUAAAGGUAAUAAUACCAGUAAUAAUAGAGAAAAUAAUAAAUGUACCAUAUAUACUUGAGUGUAAACCAACCGGAAUAUAAGCCAACCAGGACCCUCACCUGAGUAUAAGCCGAGGUGGGCUUUUUCAGUCCUAAUAAAGGGAUGAAAAACUCGCUUAUACUCGGGUGAGGGUCCUGGUUGGCUUAUAUAACCGUAAAAACAUUAGACAUUGCUGCUUGUGUCACCAAAAUGCUGCGUUGCUAGGAAGGGUUGAGGGUUGGGGAAGGGUUGAGGAUGAAAGUGGCAGAGUUUUGUGGAGGAGGAGUUGCCAAGCUCAUUCAUCGCUAUGAUAAGUGCCUAGAUUUGAAUGGCGACUAUGUUGAGAAGUGGUAUUUGGGUGUGGCUUUCAACUGCAUAUGGUAAAUGUUUUCUCCUAUACUUUUUGAGGACACAAGCGGCAGAGUUUUGUGGAGGAGGAGUUGCCAAGCUCAUUCAUCGCUAUGAUAAAUGCCUAGAUUUGAAUGGCGACUCUGUUGAGAAGUGGUAUUUGGGUGUGGCUUUCAACUGCAUAUGGUAAAUGUUUUCUCCUAUACUUUCUUCAUUUUUAAUUCCAAAACAAAAUCUACUUUCUGGAUAACCCUCGUACAAGGAUUAUGGAUAUGAUGUCUGGCUUUAAAAUAAGUGGAGAUGUCCACAAAGAUGCCCAAUUGAGCUGGAGAUGCCCAUAGGAAUCAUUGAAGCUGGGUUGCCGUGAGUUUUGCAGGCUGUAUGACCAUAUUCCAGAAGCAUUCUCUCCUGACGUUUCACUCACAUUUAUGGCAGGCAUCCUCAGAGGUUGUGAGAUCUGUAGGAAACUAGGAAGAAGAAAAGCAGACUCAUGUCCCAUUUCUUACAGUUACAAAGUUGUAAUAUUGGAAACUAGCUGUGCCCGGCCACGCGUUGCUGUGGCAUUGUCUGGUGGUGUUGGUGAGAAAUUGUUGAGGUAGUGGUGGUAUUGAAUGUCUGUUGUAUGGUUGUCUUUAUGUUUAGUAUGCACACUGAAGUGGAUUAUAUGGCAGUGUGGAGUCAAGAUAAUCCAGUUCAAAGCAGAUAAUAUAAGAUUCUAAAUGGGUUAUAUAGCUGUACUAGCUGUGCCCGGCCACGCGUUGCUGUGGCAUUGUCUGGUGGUGUUGGUGAGAAAUUGUUGAGGUAGUGGUGGUAUUGAAUGUCUGUUGAAUGGUUGUCUUUAUGUUUAGUAUGCAUUUGGUUGUUUGUGUACUGUGAAAGUGGUGAGGGUAGAGGGGGUCUAUUUCCCUGUGUAGUAUUGUAUAGUAUUUAUAAGUUGUCCAUGUGUUGGGAAUGCUUGGAUUGUGUCCUGCUGCAUAGUAGAAAGGGUUGGGCUGGAUAGCCCUUAGGGGUCUCUCCAAACUCUUGUGCCUGUCCCCUGGGCUGAGUAGGUUGCUAGGAGACCAAGUGGGUGGAACUUAGCCUUGUAACUGGCAGCAAUUGGAUAAAAACAGUUAUUCCUCUUCCUCUAAUUAGGACUUUAUUUUUCUUUUCUUUUUGUUGUAUCAACCUAGAGCCGUGGAUGAUGGGUUGUGUUGUCAAAUUUCGAGGUUGGGGGGCCUGUAGUUUUGUUGUUUUGUCCGCUGCCCUGAUGCCAUCACUCUUUUAUAUAUAUAGAUGGAAGGGCCUUGAGUCUACACUGCCAUAUAAUCCAGUUAAAAUCUGAUAAUCUGUGGAAGAGGCCUAAGUGAGGCCUAACUGUGCCUGUCCCCUGGGCUGAGUAAGUUGCUAGGAGACCAAGUGGGCGGAGCUUAGCCUUCAAACUGGCAGCAAUUGGAUAAAAUCUAUUAUUCCUCUCCCUGUAAUUAGGACUUUAUUUUUCUUUUCUUUUUGUUGUAUCAACCUAGAGCCAUGAAUGAUGGGUUGUGUUGUCAAAUUUCGAGGUUGAUACAACAAAAAGAAAAGAAAAAUAAAGUCCUAAUUAGAGGGAGAGGAAUAAUUGUUUUUAUCCAAUUGCUGCCAGUCACAAGGCUAACUUCCGCCCACUUGGUCUCCUAGCAACCUACUCAGCCCAGGGGACAGGCAAAAGAGUUUGAAGAGACCCCUAAGGGCCAUCCAGCCCAACCCUUUCUACUAUGCAGCAGGACACAAUCGAAGCAUUUACAACACAUGGACAACAUAUAAAUACUAUACAAUACUACACAGGGACAUAGACCCCCCUCUACCCUCACCACUUUCACAGUACACAAACAACCAAAUGCAUACUAAACAUAAAGACAACCAUACAACAGACAUUCAAUACCACCACUACCUCAACCAUUUCUCUCCAACACCACCAGACAACGCCACAGCAACGUGUGGCCGGGCACAGCUAAUAAUAAUAAUAAUAAUAAUAAUAAUAAUAAUAAUAAUAAUAAUUGUUUUUGUAGUUGCUGAGUGUUGAUUUCAGAUUUUUCUUAGUUAAACCCUGGAGGGAGGGGCAGAGAUAUGUAGUAAAGUUGUAAUGGAAAAGUCGAAAACUGAUAAGAAAUAUGCUUAAAGAUGUUUCGGUUUUGAUUUUUCUCUAUUGUUGGAUUGUAUACAGUAUGGUAUGUCUAAGAAACUGUAAAAUGAGGAGAGAAUGUAUACUUAUAUAUUUUGAAUUAUAAAUUAAUAAUAAUAACAUUGAUAAUAAAACAUGUAUAGGUAGAUGAAGGGUGUGUAGUGGAGAGAAGUUGUAAUGGAAAAGUUAAAAGAAUGAUGGGAAAUAUGCUUGGGGAUGUUCUUGAUUUUUUUUUUUUUUGCUGUCAGAUUGUAUGCAACCUGAUGUGUUUGAGAUAUUGUAGAAUGAGGAAAAUGUGAGAUUGUACAUUUGGAUUGAUAAAUAAAUAAAAACAAAUUUAAAAAAAAAGUUAAA